rnacentral:rRNA from 1 species
GCCAGACUCCUACGGGAGGCAGCAGUGGGGGAUAUUGCACAAUGGGGGAAACCCUGAUGCAGCGACGCCGCGUGGGUGAAGAAGUAUUUCGGUAUGUAAAGCCCUAUCAGCAGGGAAGAAAGAAGACGGUACCUGACUAAGAAGCCCCGGCUAACUACGUGCCAGCAGCCGCGGUAAUACGUAGGGGGCGAGCGUUAUCCGGAUUCACUGGGUGUAAAGGGAGCGUAGACGGCCGUGCAAGCCAGGAGUGAAAGCCCGGGGCCCAACCCCGGGACUGCUCUUGGAACUGUGCGGCUGGAGUGCGGGAGGGGCAGGCGGAAUUCCUGGUGUAGCGGUGAAAUGCGUAGAUAUCAGGAGGAACACCGGCGGCGAAGGCGGCCUGCUGGACCGCGACUGACGUUGAGGCCCGAAAGCGUGGGGAGCAAACAGGAUUAGAUACCCUCGUA